rnacentral:rRNA from 1 species
CCUACGGUAGGCAGCAGUGAGGAAUAUUGGUCAAUGGACGCAAGUCUGAACCAGCCAAGCCGCGUGCAGGAUGACGGCCCUAUGUGUUGUAAACCUCUUUUGUCCGAGGGCAAACGCCGAUACGCGUACCCGUCUGAGAGUAUCUGACGAAUAAGCAUCGGCUAACUCCGUGCCAGCAGCCGCGGUAAUACGGAGGAUUCAAGCGUUAUCCGGAUUUAUUGGGUUUAAAGGGUGCGUAGGCGGUCGGAUAAGUUAGCGGUGAAAUCCCGAGGCUCAACUUCGGAAGCGCCUUUGAUACUGUCAGGCUCGAGAGGGGUAGCAGUAUGCGGAAUGUACGGUGUAGCGGUGAAAGGCAUAGAGAUCAUACAGAACACCGAUUGCGAAGGCAGCAUACC